GGCUCCUUCGCUCAGUUGGUUAGAGUGUAAUGCUAACAAUGCCAGAGUCGCGAGUUCAAGCCCCGCAUGGGCCA
rnacentral:tRNA from 1 species